UACAGAGGUCUCAAGCGUUGUUCGGAUUCAUUGGGCGUAAAGCGCGUGUAGGCUGCUUGGAAAGUCGGAUGUGAAAGCCCUGGGCUUAACCCAGGAAGUGCAUUCGAAACUUCCAAGCUCGAGUCCUGGAGAGGGUGGCGGAAUUCUCGGUGUAGAGGUGAAAUUCGUAGAUAUCGGGAGGAACACGAGUGGCGAAGGCGGAGACCUGGGGAGAUAUUGACGCUGAGGUGCGAAAGCGUGGGGAGCAAACAGG
rnacentral:rRNA from 1 species